CAAACCAUAAGUUUUAGUGGUAGUUGAGAUGAACCUAGGCCUAUGCAUAGGCCCAAUGUGUGUAUAGGCCCAAGUCCAUUUCAAAACCCAUGUCAAGCAAGAGGAUGCUUACUUAGGGUUAAACUUUAAGGACAUAAAUUUUUUGUUUGUGAGGGAAGGAUCGUCCUAGACCACCCCCUGUUGGUGUGUCCAGUGUACCGUAGCCUAGGAUAGAAUUUUUUUUCUUACUCUACGCGUGAGAGUUAAAGGUAUAAGGGGG
rnacentral:misc_RNA from 1 species